rnacentral:tRNA from 1 species
GCGGGCGUAAUCUAGCCUGGUUAGGAUCCAGGGCCUCCAACCCUGAUACGUGGGUUCGAAUCCCACCGCCCGCA